CGCAGAGCUCCUCUGCACAGGGGCCUGCGCUGCGCUCCCGACGCAGCUUCCACGAGAUCCCAAGUCCUGCUCGCUAAAAGCCAAAUUUCCCCACAAAAUUCCCCUCCCUGGCUCUCGGUGUGUGCCCGGAGCUUGGCUUUGCAACGGAGCAGGGAAGUCUUUUUUCCCACCUACCAUCACAGCCGCCCCAAUGACCUGCAGCGGCUCCCGGGAGGAAUUUUGGGGCUUUUUCCACACUAUUUGAUCCCGGCCGUUAGCAGCGACCUUCCCCUCCGAGCCCCUGGGCGAAAAGCCGCCCCUCAGCCCCCCAGCCCCGACCGAAACCCGCACCGGGGGGGGCGCACCGGGGCCACCCCAGCCCCACCGUGCUCCCCUUUAGGGCAACACCGGCCUUUAUUGGGGGAAUUUCCUGCGAAAAAAAAUAAAAAAAACACCACACAAGGGCGCCCCCUCGGCGUCCCGGGGGUGAAUUCCCCUCAGGCCGGGCUGCGAGCCGCGGCCUCUCCUCACGGGGGCGGCGCUGGGGCCUCUCAGGGGGACGGACGGGCGGGCGGACAGACGACGGCCACGGGGCCUGGAUCACAACCGGGGGCCCUCCAGAGGCCGUCCCCGGUGCCCGGUUCCCGUCCCCGGUUCCCCUCAGGGCCCCUCAGCCGCCCUCUCCCCCCCCCCCUCACAAACAAACAACCCGGGGGGCGGGGAGAGAGAAUGGGCGGGAAAGCCUCUUCUCCCCUCCCAUUGGCUUCGCCGCAUGUCUAUCCUCCCAACCCCGCCUCCCUCAGCCGGAUCGGCUCUUUCUAUUGGCUCUCCAACACGUCACUCCCCCGCGCCGCCCCCUCCCCUCAGCCCUGCGUGCCGUGUGCAAACCUAAAAAAAAAACCCCACCGGCCGUUAAACGGGUCGAGGGGCGGGGCCAGCAGAGGGAGCUGGUCGGGAGGGGGUAGCAAGAAGCCGCUCGCCGAUUGGUCCGAGCGGGCCGUUCAAAUAAGCACGGCGCGCCGUGAUUGGCUGCGGGGGUCUCGGCGGCGGGCGUCGCGCUCGGGCGGGUCAUUGUCUGGCGGCUCCUGA
rnacentral:lncRNA from 1 species